CAGGGGGCUGAGGCAGCCGCGUGUGCUUUAGGGUGCGCGAGGAAAGUCCGGGCUCCACGAAACAUGGGUGGCGGGUAACGCCCGCCGAGUGGUGGCCUUCGGGUCAGCGCCUAGGGAAAGUGCCACAGAAAGCAUACCGCCGAUGGCUCCAUUGGAGAACAGGCAAGGAUGAAAGGGUGCGGUAAGAGCGCACCGGGGUUCUGGUAACAGCGCCCGCAUGGCAAACCCCACCCGGAGCAAGGCCAAAUAGGGGUCUCGCGCUCACCGCAAGGUAGGGCAGGGGUGUUUCGCCCUGAGGAGACCCGGGUUGGCUGCUUGAGCGCACUUGGCAACAGGUCGCCCAGAUGAAUGGUUGCCGCCGCGGAAGCUGGUCACCGAGGAAACGAGGUCGAUACCGUCCGUGGAUACAGAACCCGGCUUAUGACGCCCCCUGAUAU
rnacentral:RNase_P_RNA from 1 species